ensembl:ncRNA lncRNA:CR44795 long non-coding RNA:CR44795
ACAUACACACACACACCCAUACACUCACACAUUUAAAUCCGCAUUGCAUGCCCAGAAAAGUAGACUACAAAAGACAACAGGCAAACGACAGCACUGCAAAUGGUUACAGGGAGGGGGUGGCGGUUGGCCUGGAACGGCGGUAGGCACUAAAAAUGUCUAGCAAAUGGGCCUGGCAAUAUUAUUAAUAAUUUAGAGCAUGCGGGCCACGUCAGGAGUCGGACUCGGAGUCAGGGACAGGUGAUGGCUUCAGGCUUCAGGCCCACGGCCUGACCACAAUCCGAAGCCAUAUCGAGGCGAUUGUGUCGAAAGUACCUUCCCGCUUCUGGUGGGCAGCUCUUGGAUGUUUGGUGCCAUUGGAUAUUGAUGGCGAUGUAGAUCACUGAUGUUUAUUAAUUAUCACGAGUUAAAAGUUUUGCUUUUCUAAAUUGGCAC